CCAUUGUCCGUUAUUUUUUUUUCCUCCAGUUUUUUUCACGAUUUCUCCUACUCCGUCUUGCAACCGACGCCACCACAUCCGCAUGCCGACCUCGACGACACCAUGAGUUGCCUACACAUAAAAUAAAAAUAAAUAGUUUGUGAUUUUGUUGACCCAUAGCAACGCGCGGGCACACCUGUUAGUGUCAAUAAAAUUUGAGCGAGUCUAUGCAUAGUUUCGUUUAAUAAAAACAUCUUGGUACCCUAUGUGAAAAAAUAAAUUUAGUACCUUGA
rnacentral:lncRNA from 1 species